rnacentral:lncRNA from 1 species
UUGACUGUAUAAAACCUGAAUAAUUUCCCCCUUACAAAUGUCUGACCCUGAAUGAGGAAGCCCAUUAGGGUGCAGCUCUGUAGGUGUGUCCCCUGGGGCAGGCUAUCAAGCUGAGUUCAAGGAUAUUUUACUACUGUUGUCCUGAUACCUCUUUCUCUCACCAGUCUGUUUUAGCACCAAGGAUUACCAGAGGUUGAAGCUGUAGAGACAGAACUAAAGAAUCCCAGUAGCAAUGGAGAAGAGAUGGCAAGAAACUGGGAGGUGAGGCACGUGUCAUCCUGACAUAGAUAGGUGGCUUGAUUUAAAGGAAAAAAAUGAUACAAAACGGUGUCUGGGCAGAUGGAGGAUCCCACUAGAGGUAAAAAGUAAGCACUAGGCUAAAACCGUGUUUCUCCCAGUGUGGAGUGUUUGUGAAUGAUGGCACCAAGAUAAUAUCAGGUGUCACACAGCCAUUAGCUUACAAAAAUUAUUAUUUUACAAACAUCUUCCAAUCCUUCUGACUACAUCAAGGAGACUUCUCAGUCUGGUGCUGAAAUGUCCUUAACACCUCUCGUUUACUCACCUUUUGAACAAGGAGACAACCGGUCUCAAACUAGCAGACAACAACGUCUGAGGGAUGAAAUAACUCUGUUUUGUCUUUAAUGCAUAAAUUCUUAAAGUUCUCUUCAAUCUGGGAAAUAAUACUGGGUUUUUACUUUUAGUGAUGAUCAGCCUGACAAUCUAAAUGUAAAAGGUGAGGUGAUAUAAAGAAAUUUUAUAGACACAAUCACAUUGUUGGUAGGGCAGAAAUCACAAAGGUGCCACGCAAAUGACCAAAAUUCAGGAAACACUGCCUUGGAAUAUCUCCAAUUCCCUGUGUUCUCUCUCUUGGGAAUCUGUGCCUGGUGGAAAGGGCAUCAAAAAUUAUAGAACCCCAGUAAACAGUAUUCACGUCUUUCCUCUUCCCUUUUAUUCUUCCAUUUUAUACUUAUAAGGAGGAUUCUAUACAUGAAUGCAUCACCUCUUUCAGUAUGUUAAUAAAUUAUCAGAAAUGAAUCCUUGCUGCUCACUAUAUCAUUACACAGGGGUGGGGUGGCUGGGAGGCAGAGACAGGGCGGUGGGAGGGAUUAGGGAAGAGGCAGUCACUGAUGAAACUAAAGAAGCAUUUUCAAGGUCUGCAGCUAAGCCUCAAGCCAUCACUGUGUGAGCAAGGAAGUGCUAGAAAGUUGUUUGUGUGAAAUGGAGUGUAAACUGCAAACGUGUUAUUGAGGUGGAGGAGAAGGGAGCAGAGAUUGAGGGGGCGGGGAUGGAAUGUGCGGACAGAAGGAGGGACCCACUUAGGAAGCAUCAGCCCCCACUGCAAGUGGGAGACCGUAGGAGUUUGGCUGUCCUUAUUUAUACAAUACCAGAUAACGCUGCAGCUCACACGCCGUGUGUUUGCUGCCGCAUCUCCAUCAACAGAUGGAGGUAAUAAAGAGGCUAAAAAUGGAAACAUGAACUGGUGUGUAGCUUUGUUGUGCAGUUUGUCAUGAACAGUCAAGAAGCCCUUGCCAGUAAGUGUGCUUGUCAAGGUCACCCAUGACCUCUUUGGUAUUAAAUCUAGCAGACACUCGGUUGGCCGGGCUGUAGCAAGGCCAGGGAGGCCAGUCUCUUGGGGCAUGAGGUUGGCCGCUGCCCACUUGUGAUGGGCCCAGUUCAAGCAAUGGUUUGGCUUCCCUGGGGCUUCUGGAGGCUGUUAGUUCCAGCUUUGGUCAAUAACCUAUGUAAUUAAUCAACUUAAAGGGAGUGCUGUUAGCAAUGGUUCUUGACCCUGGCUGCACACUAGAAUCAUCUAGGGAGCUUUAAAAAUAAUACCAGUCCUAGACCUCACCCAGGUGGGGCCUCAGACAUCAGCAUUUUUCAAAAUCGCUCCAGCUGAUUCUCAUGUGCAGUCAGGGCUGCGAAGCUCUAGCCUAGAUCAUUUAGCAGCCAAGUUCAGACACACAUACAGGAGGGCAAUCUUGUUUCUUCUCUAGUCUGUGACUGCAUACCUUUUCCAAGCACACUCUGAACUGGGGUGGAGAAGAGGGAUUGGCACUGAGAGAGCAAGAGAUCAUAACUUAUUUAAGCAAAAAACAAUUGACUGCAGUUUUAAGGUUGCUUCCAAUUUUAUACCAGUAAUGCUAUAAUUAACCAAUAACCUUCUGUACAAACCUGUGUAUGCAUCCAUCAUCUGUUUUCUUGGAAUAAAUUUGUACCCUGACUAAAAAGGUAUGAAUACGUUCUGAAGUUUGUAAUACAUGUUGCCAAAUUGUCUUCCAGAACAUCUGUUCAAACUGACAUACUCGAGAAUGCAUGAGGGUGCCCUUUCUCCAUAUAUUCGGUGGCCUGAAGUUUAUCAUUUAAAAUUAUUCACUAACU